rnacentral:rRNA from 1 species
GGCUAGAGUUUGAUCAUGGCUCAGGACGAACGCUGGCGGCGUGCCUAACACAUGCAAGUCGAACGGAAGUAAGAGCUUCGGUUUUUACUUUAGUGGCGAACGGGUGAGUAACGCGUGAGGAACCUGCCUUUCAGUGGGGGACAACAGUUGGAAACGACUGCUAAUACCGCAUAAUGUUUCCGGUCUGCAUGGACUGGAAACCAAAGCUUUAUGUGCUGAAAGAUGGCCUCGCGUCUGAUUAGAUAGUUGGUGGGGUAACGGCCUACCAAGUCAACGAUCAGUAGCCGGUCUGAGAGGAUGAACGGCCACAUUGGGACUGAGAUACGGCCCAGACUCCUACGGGAGGCAGCAGUGGGGAAUAUUGGGCAAUGGGGGAAACCCUGACCCAGCAACGCCGCGUGAAGGAAGAAGGCCUUCGGGUUGUAAACUUCUUUUACCAGGGACGAAGGACGUGACGGUACCUGGAGAAAAAGCAACGGCUAACUACGUGCCAGCAGCCGCGGUAAUACGUAGGUUGCAAGCGUUGUCCGGAUUUACUGGGUGUAAAGGGCGUGUAGGCGGAGCUGCAAGUCGGAUGUGAAAUCCCGGGGCUCAACCCCGGAACUGCAUUUGAAACUGUAGCCCUUGAGUAUCGGAGAGGCAAGCGGAAUUCCUAGUGUAGCGGUGAAAUGCGUAGAUAUUAGGAGGAACACCAGUGGCGAAGGCGGCUUGCUGGACGACAACUGACGCUGAGGCGCGAAAGCGUGGGGAGCAAACAGGAUUAGAUACCCUGGUAGUCCACGCUGUAAACGAUGAAUACUAGGUGUGGGAGGACUGACCCCUUCCGUGCCGCAGUUAACACAAUAAGUAUUCCACCUGGGGAGUACGACCCGCUAGU